rnacentral:rRNA from 1 species
AGUCGAACGGAUCCUUCGGGAUUAGUGGCGGACGGGUGAGUAACACGUGGGAACGUGCCUUUUGGUUCGGAACAACUCAGGGAAACUUGAGCUAAUACCGAAUGUGCCCUUCGGGGGAAAGAUUUAUCGCCAUUAGAGCGGCCCGCGUCUGAUUAGCUUGUUGGUGAGGUAAAGGCUCACCAAGGCUACGAUCAGUAGCUGGUCUGAGAGGAUGAUCAGCCACAUUGGGACUGAGACACGGCCCAAACUCCUACGGGAGGCAGCAGUGGGGAAUCUUGCGCAAUGGGCGAAAGCCUGACGCAGCCAUGCCGCGUGAAUGAUGAAGGUCUUAGGAUUGUAAAAUUCUUUCACCGGGGACGAUAAUGACGGUACCCGGAGAAGAAGCCCCGGCUAACUUCGUGCCAGCAGCCGCGGUAAUACGAAGGGGGCUAGCGUUGCUCGGAAUUACUGGGCGUAAAGGGAGCGUAGGCGGAUAGUUUAGUCAGAGGUGAAAGCCCAGGGCUCAACCUUGGAAUUGCCUUUGAUACUGGCUAUCUUGAGUAUGGGAGAGGUUAGCGGAACUCCGAGUGUAGAGGUGAAAUUCGUAGAUAUUCGGAAGAACACCAGUGGCGAAGGCGGCUAACUGGCCCAUUACUGACGCUGAGGCUCGAAAGCGUGGGGAGCAAACAGGAUUAGAUACCCUGGUAGUCCACGCCGUAAACGAUGAGUGCUAGUUGUCGGCAUGCAUGCAUGUCGGUGACGCAGCUAACGCAUUAAGCACUCCGCCU